rnacentral:ribozyme from 1 species
AUACGUAUGUGAAUGGGGAAAAGGUAGAGUAAGAGAAAAGUGGGCUAAGGGGGAACGGAAACUGCUAUGAAAA